rnacentral:rRNA from 1 species
UACGGAGGAUGCGAGCGUUAUCCGGAUUUAUUGGGUUUAAAGGGUGCGUAGGCGGCUUUUUAAGUCAGCGGUGAAAUUUUGCAGCUUAACUGUAACAGUGCCGUUGAUACUGGGGAGCUAGGAUUUGGUUGCUGUGGGUGGAAUGUGUGGUGUAGCGGUGAAAUGCUUAGAGAUCACACAGAAUAUCGAUUGCGAAGGCAGGUCUCUGGGCCACUACUGACGCUGAGAAGCGAAAGCAUGGGGAGCGAACAGGA